rnacentral:rRNA from 1 species
CAAGUCGAGGGGCAACAGGGACAUGCUUUUAGUAUGUUUGCUGGCGACCGGCGCACGGGUGAGUAACGCGUACGCAACUUACCUCUGAGAGGGGAAUAGCCCUGGGAAACUGGGAUUAAUGUUCCGUGGUAUUAUGGGGAGGCAUCUUUUCAUAAUUAAAGCUUAGGUGCUCAGAGAUAGGCGUGCGUCCUAUUAGUUAGUUGGUGAGGUAACGGCUCACCAAGGCGAUGAUAGGUAGGGGGCGUGAGAGCGUGACCCCCCACACGGGUACUGAGGCACGGACCCGACUCCUACGGGAGGCAGCAGUAAGGAAUAUUGGACAAUGGAGGCAACUCUGAUCCAGCCAUCCCGCGUGCGGGAAGGAGGCCCUUUGGGUUGUAAACUGCUUUUAACAGGGGAGAAAUAUAGUCAUUUAUGAUUAGUUGACGGUACCUGAGGAAUAAGCACCGGCUAACUCCGUGCCAGCAGCCGCGGUAAUACGGAGGGUGCAAGCGUUAUCCGGAAUUACUGGGUUUAAAGGGUGCGUAGGCGGUUUGAUAAGUCAUAGGUGAAAGUCCACGGCUCAACUGUGGGAUUGCCUGUGAUACUGUUGGACUUGAAUUGGGAUGAGGUUGGCGGAAUGUGACAUGUAGCGGUGAAAUGCAUAGAUAUGUCAUAGAACAUCGAUUGCGAAGGCAGCUGACUGGACCUUGAUUGACGCUGAGGCACGAAAGCGUGGGUAGCGAACAGGAUUAGAUACCCUGGUAGUCCACGCCCUAAACGAUGCUCACUCGAUAUAUGCCUUUAGGGGUAUGUGUCCAAGCGAAAGCGUUAAGUGAGCCACCUGGGGAGUACGUUCGCAAGAAUGAAACUCAAAGGAAUUGACGG